rnacentral:rRNA from 1 species
AUUGCCUCAGUAACGGCGAGUGAAGCGGCAACAGCUCAAAUUUGAAAUCUGGCCCCAGGCCCGAAUUGUAAUUUGCAGAGGAUGUUUCUGGCGAGGUGCCUUCCGAGUUCCCUGGAACGGGACGCCAUAGAGGGUGAGAGCCCCGUACGGUUGGUCGCUAAGCCUCUGUGAAACUCCUUCGACGAGUCGAGUAGUUUGGGAAUGCUGCUCUAAAUGGGAGGUAUACGUCUUCUAAAGCUAAAUACCGGCCAGAGACCGAUAGCGCACAAGUAGAGUGAUCGAAAGAUGAAAAGCACUUUGAAAAGAGGGUUAAAUAGUACGUGAAAUUGUUGAAAGGGAAGCGCUUAUGACCAGACUUGGACCGGUUGAUCAUCCAUCGUUCUCGGUGGUGCACUCUGCCGGUUCAGGCCAGCAUCAGUUUGUCCCGGGGGAUAAAGGCUUUGGGAAUGUGGCUCCUCGGAGUGUUAUAGCCCACUGCGUAAUACCCUGGGAUAGACUGAGGUUCGCGCUCCGCAAGGAUGCUGGCGUAAUGGUCAUCAGUGACCCGUCUUGAAACACGGACCAAGGAGUCGUCUUCGUAUGCGAGUGUUCGGGUGUCAAACCCCUACGCGUAAUGAAAGUGAACGUAGGAGAGAGCUUCGGCGCAUCUCCGACCGAUCCUGAUGUUCUCGGAUGGAUUUGAGUAAGAGCAUACGGGGCCGGACCCGAAAGAAGGUGAACUAUGCUUGUAUAGGGUGAAGCCAGAGGAAACUCUGGUGGAGGCUCGCAGCGG